rnacentral:rRNA from 1 species
UGGGGAAUAUUGCACAAUGGGCGCAAGCCUGAUGCAGCCAUGCCGCGUGUAUGAAGAAGGCCUUCGGGUUGUAAAGUACUUUCAGCGGGGAGGAAGGCGAUGUGGUUAAUAACCGCGUCGAUUGACGUUACCCGCAGAAGAAGCACCGGCUAACUCCGUGCCAGCAGCCGCGGUAAUACGGAGGGUGCAAGCGUUAAUCGGAAUUACAGGGCGUAAAGCGCACGCAGGCGGUCUGUCAAGUCGGAUGUGAAAUCCCCGGGCUCAACCUGGGAACUGCAUCCGAAACUGGCAGGCUUGAGUCUCGUAGAGGGGGGUAGAAUUCCAGGUGUAGCGGUGAAAUGCGUAGAGAUCUGGAGGAAUACCGGUGGCGAAGGCGGCCCCCUGGACGAAGACUGACGCUCAGGUGCGAAAGCGUGGGGAGCAAACA